GGCGCCGUGGCGCAGUGGCUAACACUGUCGCCUGCCAAAUAUCGGGCGCGGGUUCGAUUCCUACCCAGCGUCA